GUCCUUCCCGCGCUUUCUCUGUCCGUCGUUCUCUCCUCCGUCCUCUCCCUCACCCUCUCACUGUUGGUGUCUCUCGCGCGCGCCGUUGAGCCACUUCUCCUCCCCUUGCCAUCGCCCUCAGACUCACAGUUAUGGUGAAGGUUUUCUAUCUUGAUUUGAAGGUUCUAGACUAGGGGAUUUUAGGUUUUCAUGUUUCUAUGGAGAGAUGGAAGGGGAUCGUCCAUGGCGUCAAGAGAAAGGCUUGAGUGGGUGAUCGCUAUGGUUCAGCAGGUAGUGAAGAUCCUCCCAACUACGAAGAAUAUGACAGCCGACCUGAUCACGGUCCACUCCAUCUUCGGUAACCGGCUAUCCAGCAUGAGGGAGCUCCUUGCAGGCGGCGACAUUGGCAAGAUGGAGGAGCGCCUAAAACUGAUUGAGGCGAAGAUCAGGUGCUGAAACUUGAACUCCUUGGCAGGGUGCCACUCCUUCCUCACGAGUGAUGUCUGUGGCCCAGGGUUGACUAGGUGGCUAGAUUAACGAAGAGCUUGUGGAAGCUCUCUCUCUUGAGCGAAACCGAGCUCGAGUUCCCUUGUGUGGUUGAAUUUUGGAACGGGAGGGUUGCAAGAACUAUGAAAUGCAUGCAACAGUGAUAAAUGACAGAAUGAGGCUACGAAAUAUGGGUAUUAUGUGAAGUUCUGCAUGAGAGGGUUCUCAAGGACGACAAAGAUUAACAAUUACUAUAAAGCUCUAUAGGCAUGCAAAGGAUACAAAGAAAUGACUUAUCAAGUUCCUACGUGUCAAUACAGACAAAUUGAUGCAUGGAGAGGAACUGCAUGACUUGGAGGAUGGGAUUCGAAAAUGUAUUAGAAAGUGCAAAAGAUUCUAAUAAGCCAGUAGUUGGUCAGUUGAAACUUGCGCUGGCGACUUCUUUUUCAUGGAGAAACUGACUUAGGAAAUCAAUUACGUUUCUUUGUAUAUCUUCUUGGACUUUCUUAUUGUUUCAUUGGAGUGUCAGCAAUUACUUCGCUUUUCUUUCAA